rnacentral:rRNA from 1 species
UACGUAGGGGGCUAGCGUUGUCCGGAAUCAUUGGGCGUAAAGAGCGCGUAGGCGGUCCGGUAAGUCCGCUCUGAAAGUCCGGGGCUCAACCCCGGGAGGCGGGCGGAUACUGUCGGGCUAGAGUCCGGAAGAGGCGAGUGGAAUUCCUGGUGUAGCGGUGAAAUGCGCAGAUAUCAGGAGGAACACCGGUGGCGAAGGCGGCACCCUGGACCAAUUCUGACACUGAGGAGCGAAAGCCAGGGGAGCAAACGGG